UANUGCAGUCGAGCGAACAGACGAGGAGCUUGCUCCUCUGACGUUAGCGGCGGACGGGUGAGUAACACGUGGAUAACCUACCUAUAAGACUGGGAUAACUUCGGGAAACCGGAGCUAAUACCGGAUAAUAUAUUGAACCGCAUGGUUCAAUAGUGAAAGACGGUUUUGCUGUCACUUAUAGAUGGAUCCGCGCCGCAUUAGCUAGUUGGUAAGGUAACGGCUUACCAAGGCAACGAUGCGUAGCCGACCUGAGAGGGUGAUCGGCCACACUGGAACUGAGACACGGUCCAGACUCCUACGGGAGGCAGCAGUAGGGAAUCUUCCGCAAUGGGCGAAAGCCUGACGGAGCAACGCCGCGUGAGUGAUGAAGGUCUUCGGAUCGUAAAACUCUGUUAUUAGGGAAGAACAAAUGUGUAAGUAACUAUGCACGUCUUGACGGUACCUAAUCAGAAAGCCACGGCUAACUACGUGCCAGCAGCCGCGGU
rnacentral:rRNA from 1 species